rnacentral:rRNA from 1 species
UGGAUCCAGACUUUGAUUAUGGCUCAGGAUGAACGCUAGCUACAGGCCUAACACAUGCAAGUCGAGGGGCAUCAUGGGGGUCGCUUGCGACCCCUGAUGGCGACCGGCGAAUGGGUGAGUAACGCGUAUCCAACCUGCCCCGCGCCCGGGGAUAGCCCUUGGAAAUGAGGGUUAAGACCCGAUAUGUGCCCUGGCCGCAUGGCCGGGACAUGAAGCAGACGCGGGAUGGGGAUGCGUUGGAUUAGCCAGCCGGCAGGGCAGCGGCCUACCGGGGCGACGAUCCAUAGGGGUUCUGAGAGGAAGGUCCCCCACACUGGCACUGAGACACGGGCCAGACUCCUACGGGAGGCAGCAGUGAGGAAUAUUGGUCAAUGGGCGAGAGCCUGAACCAGCCAAGUAGCGUGCAGGAUGACGGCCCUACGGGUUGUAAACUGCUUUUGCGGGAGAAUAACCGGCGCCACGCGUGGCGCCCUGCAGGUAUCCCGUGAAUAAGGACCGGCUAAUUCCGUGCCAGCAGCCGCGGUAAUACGGAAGGUCCGGGCGUUAUCCGGAUUUAUUGGGUUUAAAGGGAGCGCAGGCGGAGGAUCAAGCCAGCCGUGAAAUGGCGGCGCUCAACACCGUCCGGCGGUUGGAACUGGUCCCCUUGAUUGCGGGAGAGGAAGGCGGAACUCGUGGUGUAGCGGUGAGAUGCAUAGAUAUCACGAAGAACCCCGAUUGCGAAGGCAGCCUUCCGGCCCGUAAAUGACGCUCAUGCUCGAAGGCGCGGGUAUCAAACAGGAUUAGAUACCCUGGUAGUCCGCGCGGUAAACGAUGAAUGCUCGGGAUUCGGGCUUUAUGUCUGAGUCCCCCAGCGAAAGCGUUAAGCAUUCCACCUGGGGAGUACGCCGGCAACGGUGCAACUCAAAUGAAUUGACGGA